rnacentral:sRNA from 1 species
GUUUUUCCUGUAUAAUAGGACAAGCAGGAAGUUUUAAGGGCGGUGGCUGUCUUUUCCCUUGUGAGGUGAUGUCUAUGGGAACAUGGAGUAAUCUUCAGAAAGGUUUCACAGUCAAUGAGUGUCUUUCAGGCACUCUCGUUGAUGUUGCUGUUUGGCACAUUUUUAAUUGCGCUACUCAGCUAUAU